rnacentral:rRNA from 1 species
AUUGAACGCUGGCGGCAGGCCUUACACAUGCAAGUCGAACGAGUGGCGGACGGGUGAGUAAUGUCUCGGAAACUGCCCAGUAGCGGGGGAUAACUACUCGAAACGGUGGCUAAUACCGCAUACCAUCGGAUGUGCCCAGAUGGGAUUAGCUAGUUGGUGGGGUAACGGCUCACCAAGGCGACGAUCCGUAGCUGGUUUGAGAGGAUGACCCGCCACACUGGAACUGAGACACGGCCCAGACUCCUACGGGAGGCAGCAGUGGGGAAUAUUGGACAAUGGGGGAAACCCUGAUGCAGCCAUGCCGCGUGUAUGAUGAAGGCCUUCGGGUUGUAAAGUACUUUCAGCAGGGAGGCGUUAUCUGCAGAAUAAGCACCGGCUAACUACGUGCCAGCCGCCGCGGUAAUAC